CCAAUAGCGUAUAUUAAAGUUGUUGCAGUUAAAAAGCUCGUAGUUGAAUUUCGGGGUCAGUAGGUUGGUCAUGCCACUGGUAUGUACUGGUCUCACUGAUUCCUCCUUCCUGAUGAGCCGUAAUGCCAUUAAUUUGGUGUUGCGGGGAAUCUGGACUGUUACUUUGAAAAAAUUAGAGUGUUUAAAGCAGGCUAACGCUUGAAUACAUUAGCAUGGAAUAAUGAAAUAGGACGUUCGAUCUUAUUUUGUUGGUUUCUAAGAUUGACGUAAUGAUUAAUAGGGAUAGUUGGGGGCAUUAGUAUUCAAUUGUCAGAGGUGAAAUUCUUGGAUUUAUUGAAGACUAACUACUGCGAAAGCAUUUGCCAAGGAUGUUUUCAUUAAUCAAGAACGAAAGUUAGGGGAUCGAAGACGAUCAGAUACCGUCGUAGUCUUAACCAUAAACUAUGCCGACUAGGGAUCGGAUGAUGUUAAUUUUUUAAUGACUCAUUCGGCGCCUUACG
rnacentral:rRNA from 1 species